rnacentral:rRNA from 1 species
GACGUAGGGCGCGAGCGUUGUCCGGAUUAUUGGGCGUAAAGAGCUCGUAGGCGGCUUGUCGCGUCGACUGUGAAAACCCGCGGCUCAACUGUGGGCUUGCAGUCGAUACGGGCAGGCUGGAGUUCGGUAGGGGAGACUGGAAUUCCUGGUGUAGCGGUGAAAUGCGCAGAUAUCAGGAGGAACACCGGUGGCGAAGGCGGAUCGUCUGGGCUUCUACCUGACG